AUGGCUGCACAGAACCAGCAGGGAAGCAGCCUUCUCUAGGAUGGAAGGUGAUUGGCUGGUUGCCUCCUGUUGCUGGACAGCGUGUCUCUCUCCUCCUCCUAUCAUCCUGACAUCUAGCGGACAAUUAUUCGAAAUCCAGAGGAGCAGCUUGGAGGAAGGAACACAUCAAGGCUAAAUCCUCCCUCCCUUCAGGACCAGCCCAAGACAUUUUUGCUGCUUAAGAAGAUUUCUCAAACUUGCACUUUACCAGAGAGAUACAAAACUGUACAGUGGCCACUGAGGAAUUAUCUCCAUAGCACGCUGUUUAUCCUAAGGUUUUGCAGAGCACUAUUCAACUUAUUUGCAUCAUCAAGGAGCUCUCGGACGUUUGAUGUAAAAGCUGGUUGUGGGGAAAAAGCAAUGCCUCAGCAAUGCUAAAAUGCUCUAAUGGAAAAGUCGUCACUGUCUGGGAAAACACGCACACACAUGGGAGGACAACAGACAAAACAUUGGAAUGCAAUUGGCUGACAACAGGAGCCCCUGUCAGGCACUACAAAUCUGGUGAAAUAAACACAUGAGGAGAGCAGCAGGGAAAACCAUCACGAACUACAAAAAAAAAUGUCCAGCCUUAAUCUACCAACCUGGCUCAAUGGGUGCUAACCAUGAUGGCUACAUGCAACCUCUCCCAAGAUCAGAGGACAUAUGCUACUGAAUAAUACCAGUUGCUGGAAGCAACAGCAGGAGCAACAACAGAGAAUAAUUGUCCAUGUUCUGCUUGAGGGCUUCUCCAACUAGGAUGUUGGACUAUAUGGACUUGUCUGAUCCAUCAGGGCUGCUCUUUAUGUUCUUCUGAGUUAUGUUAUAAUCUUAUGUUAAAGAUUAGGGAGAUAAUGUAUGUGAAGCAUAGGGUCGCCAGAUGAAAAGACGGUAAGUCUGCUGCACCUUUAACAGUUGUGUAAAAGAGGGUAUUUCAGCUGAUGUAACUUAUCCCCUGAAGCACUUUGAAGAGCCCUAAAAAUGCAGUUAUCAGAUUGGACAGCAUAAAGUGUGUCUGUGUGUCAAGUAUGCUCUGCCUAUUGUGACUUCUAUCUCAGUCCUAACUCCACCUGCUCUUGACUGCUGUGCCCUGUCCCUUGCCCCACAAGUCUCAGUGGACACCAGCCACUACUGAUUACAACUACACCAGGCCAUUAUAUCUGCUGCUUCUAGAGGCACGUGAAUAAAGCAAAGUUAGUAUCUCUAUUGCACUCCCUUUUGUUACUCACUGCACUUUCCCCACUGGCUAUC